GGGACCCGGCGCUCGCGGCGAAGAAGAAGGCGGCCAAGAAGGCCGUGGCGGCGCCUCUGCCGCCAUCUGCGACCGUGCAGGUCCCGUUGCCAUGCCCUCCCGCACCUCAGGCGGCUCAAUCACCGCCGAUUGUGCCCGUGCCGGCGUCGCCGACGAGCACCACGGGUACUGCCCUCAUGGUGCUCGACCAAAUGCCCCCAAGGUAAUUGCAUUGUUUUUUUUGUUUUUAAAUUCCUGGUUGUUGUAUGUUUGAUUUAGUCAAAUGCAAUUCAUUUGUAGCACAAAUUCCGUGUAAUUCUUGUAUGCACAUGAAUUAGUGGUAAUUCUUGUAGUAUGAAUUAGUGGUAAUGUUGCUUAUGUAUGGUUUAUUGUAUAUAGCAUGGCCGAUGAGGAUUUUCUCAAGUUUACUUGUGGAGACAUGCCAUCACAAGAAUUUGCCCAUGAUGAUGUUGCAUCUCAAGAUGGUGGAGAAGGUUUUGUGGAUGAACCUACAAACGAUGGUGAAGGUUUUGUGGAUCAACCAACUCCACGUAGGGCGGUGCGAGGAGCAAAUUUCACACAAAAGGAAGAUGAGGCUUUGUGCCAUGCAUGGAGGUCGGUUGGCAUUGAUCCCAUCACCGGGAAUGAACAAUCAACCAACACCUAUUGGGAGCGUAUCCAUGAUUACUUUGAAAAACACUCCAAGUCUGUAAUCCAUGAUUACUUUGAAAAACACUCCAAGUUUAUAAGAAGCCAAAUUUCACUCCAACAUCGUUUUCAGACCAUCAACACCGAUUGCUCCAAGUGGUCGGGUUGCUUAGCUCAAGUGGAUCGUCUCAACCCAAGUGGGACUAGUGCAAUAAACAAGACCGGGGCCCCCCAAAAUUUUGGGGCCCUGUGUAGAUAUCAAGGCUUGAUGCACAUGGUGGUGAUCCAGUAGAGGUUGAGGCUCACAUUGCACAAACUGAUGAAGGUGAUGAUGCUAAGAAUGUCGACGAAGAUGAUGAUUCUAAUCAUGUUGAUGAAGGAGAGACUGAUGAUAUUGCCAUUGAAGGUGAUAGUGCUAAUAUUGCCGCUGAAGGUGAUGAUUCUAAUAUUGCUGAUAACAUCAAUAAUUCUGUUCAACCUGAUAUAUUUGAUCCAAGAACAUGGGAUGCACUUGAUCCUAGAAUGAUUGAUAUUUUGUUGCGAAAGGGUCCUAAACGAGAUCUGCCGAUUGAGCAUGGUCCUAGAGACAAAUUGGGUAGAAGGUUUUCUGCAUUAUCAUACACUAGAGUUGUCUCGAAUGGAAAAAAGUGUGAUAGAGUGUAGCUUGUGUACAACAAAGAUGUCGACAAGGUUUUUUAUUAUUGUUGCAAAUAAUUAAGAAAGGGACAUGCAAGAGGUCAA